UCUUUCAGUUGGACUUUGUGUUCUUUCAGUUGGACUUUGUUUUCUUUCAGUUGGACUUUGUUUUCUUUCAGUUGGACUAACUGAAACAAAAUGAAGACUACCUGAAAAAGAAUAAAGACCAACUGAAACCCAAGUAAGUCUAACUGAAGCACAAAAACCAACUGAACAAAAAGAAGACUAACUGAAAAAAAAAGACUAACUGAAACAAAAUGAAGACUACCUGAAGAAAAAUAUAGACUACCUGAAAAAGAAUAAAGACCAACUGAAACCCAAGUAAGUCUAACUGAAGCACAAAAACCCACUGAAAAACAAAGAAGACUAACUGAAAACAAAAUGAAGACUACCUGAAGAAAAAUGUAGACUACCUGAAAAAGAAUAAAGACCAACUGAAACCCAAGUAAGUCUAACUGAAGCACAAAAACCCACUGAAAAACAAAGAAGACUAACUGAAAACAAAACGAAGACUACCUGAAAAAAAAUUGGAACCACCUGAAAAAAAAAUGAAGACUACCUGAAAAAUAAUUGGAACCACCUGAAAGUCGUCCGACCAAGAUUAUGGUCGGACGAGUCCGACACAAUACGUUCUCUUAAUUUAUUUAGCUAUUUCAUAAGUACGAUAAGAUUCCUUAAUCACUAAUGUGGUCCUUUACUCGUUGUCUCGUUACACAUUGAUAUAUCUACAUCAAGGGCCAGGUUAUAUGCUUGUAUCCACUGGCGGCUAAAGCCAUGUAGAAGGUGAACAACUGCACAAACUCCUAAAAUAUAUAAUUAAAUUCUAUUAGUUAUUCGUCCAAAGUAAAAAAAUAAAAAUAAUCAAAUCUACUUAUAGGUUGUUUGUUUUCAAUUUACCGAGUGUAAUGUUGAAUGCAAAUUCAAACAUGUUACUUUAUAUCUGGUGUUUUACUUUGUUUCCUCCUAUUUUCCGAAAGAAAGUCUCCCACUAUGACUCUUCCGUCUCUUCUAUUUACCAAAAAUGUCCAAUCUUUAUGAUUUAAUUUAGGACAAGACCCUUAACUUGUACGAGACGGCCCUACUUGUAUCUCUAUUAGGCCUGGCAAAAGCUGAUCCAACCCCACAACCCGACAAUCCAACUUGAAAUUAGUAGGUUUGGGUUGAGUUUUUCAACCCAUUAGUUAAAUGGGUCGAUUUGAACCCGACCUGAAAGAUAAAUGGGUCAUGUUGAAGUCGAAAUUUCGGACCUGAAAAUGACCCGCCUAACCUGAUUUUUAAAUGGGUCACAAUCAGGUCAGGUCAACCCAUGUAACACAACCCGAAUAAUUACGGUUUAAAAAAAUUGUUGGUUUGCCCAGCUCAAAAACAAAUUCUUAAGUUUAACCUAAGUCUCGUAACCCUAGAAUUCUAACACAGUCAUUACACUCACCCCUCUUUCUCUCACACAGUCUCUCUCACUCUUACAUUCUCAGUCUCUCUUCUUCGCUGCUCAUGCUCACUCGCAAAUCUUCGCUACUCGUGCUCACUCGCAAAUCUUCGGUGCUUAGUGCUCACUCGCGAAUCUUCUUCGAUGCUCUUCAUAUAAACAUCACCAUCAACUAUUUUCUUCAAUUCGUAUUUUUUCCUAUUUUCUUAGCUGUUUAUUUCUUCAGUUCGUAUUUUUCUUUGCUUGAUUUUUUUUUUCAUAUUUUCUUAUUUAUUUGCUUUUUCUUCACUCUCCUUCAGAAUUUUUGCUGCUCUUCUUCAACAUCAGGUAUUCUUCUUUUGUCAAUUUUUUUUUCUUAUUUUGUCCUUUAUUUUCUUAUUUUCUCAUUUAUUUUCUUUCAUUUUUUUCCUGCUAUUUUUCAGUAUUUUAUGUGAUUUUUGUAUUUUGUCAUUUCUUUUUUUUGCUCUUUUCGGGGUUUUUUUCUGUUUUCCUAUGUGUUUAAUGUUUUGUACUUUUUUUUCUAUAUUUUCAUUUUUUAUUUUAUGCCUUAUUCUGUAUAUUUUCUCAAAAUAUAAUUUAUAUUUUUAAUUUGUUCAUGAAUUAUUUUCUAUAAAUUUUCUCUAUUUUUCUGUUUUUGUAUUUUUUCUUCUAGUUUAUUUAUUUGUUUAGAUUCUGUGUUUUUCAGUUAAUAUGACUGAUGACAACUUCAAGGAGCAAAUUGAGCUCUUAUCAGAGGCAGAGGAGAAGGUUGACUCCACUCCGACAAAUACUGUUAAACCAAAAAAGGAAAAAUCUGAUAAGUUGGGGAUAGUUUUGAGUAUCAGUUAGAAUUUUCCAAGGUAAAAGAUAAGUUGAAAGACUUGUAUGAAGUUUAUGCCGCCUCUUAUGCAUCAUCGAGCAAAAAUGUGGCUGCUCAUGGACAAGGUGGGUGUGUUAGAGUUUCUUCAAGUGAUGAUUUGAUGACGGAUUUUGAUUGUUUCUCUGCCGAACAAUCAACUGUGGCUGCCAAAACUGACAUGGAGUUGUAUUUUGAGGAGCACCUUAUCCCUCGCACUACCAACAUCGACAUUCUAUCAUAUUGGAAAGGGAAUAUGGUCCAUUAUCCAAUAUUAGCUCAACUUGCAAAGGAUAUACUUCUUGUCCCCAUCUCUACAAUGGCCUCCGAAUAAGCUUUUAGUACCGGAGGUCGGGUAUAGAUUGCUUUAGAAGCUCCUUGAAGCCUUCCACUGUUGUGGGUAUCAUAAGCCUAAGGGAUUGGUCAUUUGGUGAAUCAAAAAUGGAUCCACGCACAACUUGAGGCGUUAUGCGGAGCCGUCAUGAACCUCAAGGUCGAAUAGGAAGUGGAUGACGUGCCUCAACAAUCGCCUUCCCCAAGUAUGCCAAGUGUUGACCUUGAGAGUCCUCGUCAAUCAACCUCGACAAUGUUUGUUAGAUCUAUGGUUGUCUAAUACAUUAAGGAUACAUUACUCUUGUUUUAUUUUAUUAAAUUUGUGGCUGAUUUGGAUUGUAAUGUUUUAUGACCGCUAGUCCUCCAUACUAUGUGUUGAUAUUGCCAAGUGUUGGAGUACAAUGUGACACUCAAGA